AUAUCCGCUGUGUGGUUGGUGAACAGAGGAAGCACCUAGUUGGUGGACGUAACCUGUGACGUCACACACCUAACCCCCUCGCCCUGCUCCCUUCUUCGCAUCUCGGAUUCUGCUUUUCUUGUCCGGAUUUGAGAUGUUGGAAGGGCUGUGGUUAUCACAAGGAUCUCAGCUCCGUUACGUCGCAACAGAUAGCUUCACUAGUUGACACGAAUGAUCCGAGCGAAAAGCCAUGUCUACAGUCAGAAGUUAAAGUAACAGAUUCACGACUGCCCACGUAAAUAUUACAUAUAUAUAGCCACUCUGCUACCCGGCUCGGAACCCAGAUUUUCUUCCACCAGUCAUAAAGAAGACACAGUGGACGUCAGUGCUUUGAUGAAUGACUUGAAAUGAAGAAAUAACAAAUUGCUGAUUGGAUAUACUAUGAUGUCAAAGCUCAAAGUAUGGCAGCUGUUCAGGUGGCAGUGAAAAAGAAAAAAUAAUCAAGAUGGCUUCUCUCAAAAAAGCUAUUGUAUUGCGAAUUUACUUCUACAGGUUAAUAUAAUCAACA